UUUAUUGAUAUACGAUACAAAAUGUCGAUGCUUCGGAUAUCGCACAUCCCUAGACAGCAAUUGCACAUGGUAUGUAAUAGAAAGAGACAGAAAGAAAAGAAAAGGAGGGAAGUAUCUAAGGGAUAUAACGCCUUCCUUAGGUGAAUUUUUUUCAGUUCCUCUCCCGUGGGCGCUACUGGAAACGACGUGUCGUGAUUAGACUUCCGUAAAAAAACAAAGAAGAAAAAAUGUUUUCCGCUCAAUCUUCGCAGGUGGCAGUCAACAGAUUAGAAGAGAAGAUCAGAUCUCUAAAAAGAAAACUCAGCAAACUUCAGACAGACUUAAGUCAAGUCAGUUCUGAAUUAUCUACUGCUCAACGUGAAUUGGAAACAGUGAGGUCUAACGUCCGAUACUCAUCUUGGAAAUGAAAGAUUCCAUCUAAAUCAAAACUAGAAAUACAAAAUCAAAAUUUCAUCAGUUGUGGAAAAUUCCGAGCCAUCUCCUGAACCAUACGAAGGAACACAUUCGAAUAGUCAACAAACAGUAAGCAGUGACAUCAUAAAACUCUUGCCAUGGAGAAGACGCUUCCUAUCACUGGAUUAUACGAAAUUUGGAGCAUGUUUUUGAAGACAAACAGCUAUUUGAUAGUCGUAUUAGCAGCUAGUGCAAUUAACAGUAUUUUUAAUUAAUUGAUGAGUAUUAAUCAGUAUUGUAAACGGUAGAAGCUAAGAAGAAGACUGAUCUAUAUGUUUCUAUUUUAUCAAAAUUCUCAACGAAAGUGCCAUUAGAUUAAGUUUUUGAGUCAUGACAUGACAAAGAUUCCUAAAUUAUAAUAAGUUUUGAUCUCUAAAGUAAUCUCUAAAAUUAAUUUAAUUGUAAAUUUAUAAAAUGGUUGUGAUGUUACGCACUUUGAAUGAAAAAUGUACUUUGGUUUUGUCUCUCUAGUUUUGAAUCAUCAAAUAAAUGUGUAAGUUAUUUGGAAAA